GCCUCUGUAGCUCAGUUGGUUAGAGCGCUGCACCGGAAUAGCACGUUCGAUUCCUGCCACGGACC